GAAAUGCGAUAAGUAAUGUGAAUUGCAGAAUUCAGUGAAUCAUCGAAUCUUUGAACGCACAUUGCGCCCGCCAGUAUUCUGGCGGGCAUGCCUGUUCGAGCGUCAUUACAACCCUCAGGCCCCCGGGCCUGGCGUUGGGGAUCGGCGGAAGCCCCCUGCGGGCACAACGCCUUCCCCCAAAUACAGUGGCGGUCCCGCCGCAGCUUCCAUUGCGUAGUAGCUAACACCUCGCAACUGGAGAGCGGCGCGGCCACGCCGUAAAACACCCAACUUCUGAAUGUUGACCUCGAAUCAGGUAGGAAUACCCGCUGAACUUAAGC
rnacentral:misc_RNA from 1 species